rnacentral:snRNA from 1 species
GGCUGUGAGGGCCAUCGGCCACAUCUGCCAACCCAUUGAUCACCAGGGUUGGCUCCGCUGACCUGGCUGGCCAGGCAGGUCCCCUUUCUCCCUCACCGCUCCAUAUGUCCCUCCAAAAACUGUGUGCUCAUUCAACGAGAAUGACCAACUCCGCAGAAGAGGACCAUUUCCCCAGUUAGGGGCAUACAAGUCGCUGCGCUCCCCUGCUAAAACCUCCAGUCAAGCUCUCAAAACUGGUCAGUGAAAGAGGAUUUCUUCAGCUGCUUUCUAUCCAGCAAUGUGCCUGUGUU